rnacentral:rRNA from 1 species
UACGUAGGGGGCAAGCGUUGUCCGGAAUCAUUGGGCGUAAAGAGCGCGUAGGCGGCCCUGUAAGUCCGCUGUGAAAGUCAAGGGCUCAACCCUUGGAUGCCGGUGGAUACUGCAGGGCUAGAGUCCGGAAGAGGCGAGUGGAAUUCCUGGUGUAGCGGUGAAAUGCGCAGAUAUCGGGAGGAACACCAGGGGCGAAGGCGACUACCUGGCCUGUUUCUUGACGCUGAGGCGCGAAAGCUAGGGGAGCAAACGGG